UACGUAGGGUGCGAGCGUUGUCCGGAAUUACUGGGCGUAAAGAGCUCGUAGGUGGUUUGUCGUGUUGUUCGUGAAAUCUCACGGCUUAACUGUGAGCGUGCGGGCGAUACGGGCAGACUAGAGUACUGCAGGGGAGACUGGAAUUCCUGGUGUAGCGGUGGAAUGCGCAGAUAUCAGGAGGAACACCGGUGGCGAAGGCGGGUCUCUGGGCAGUAACUGACGCUGAGGAGCGAAAGCGUGGGGAGCGAACAGG
rnacentral:rRNA from 1 species